rnacentral:rRNA from 1 species
GACGAACGCUGGCGGCGUGCUUAACACAUGCAAGUCGAACGGUAAGGCCCUUCGGGGUACACGAGUGGCGAACGGGUGAGUAACACGUGGGUGAUCUGCCCUGCACUUCGGGAUAAGCCUGGGAAACUGGGUCUAAUACCGGAUAGGACCAUGGACUUCACGGUUUGUGGUGGAAAGCUUUUGCGGUGUGGGAUGGGCCCGCGGCCUAUCAGCUUGUUGGUGGGGUAAUGGCCUACCAAGGCGACGACGGGUAGCCGGCCUGAGAGGGUGUCCGGCCACACUGGGACUGAGAUACGGCCCAGACUCCUACGGGAGGCAGCAGUGGGGAAUAUUGCACAAUGGGCGCAAGCCUGAUGCAGCGACGCCGCGUGAGGGAUGACGGCCUCGGUGUAACCUCUUUCAAUAGGACGAAGACGCAAGUGACGGUACCUAUAGAAGAAGCACCGGCCAACUACGUGCCAGCAGCCGCGGUAA